UACGAAGGGGGCUAGCGUUGCUCGGAAUCACUGGGCGUAAAGGGUGCGUAGGCGGGUCUUUAAGUCAGGGGUGAAAUCCUGGAGCUCAACUCCAGAACUGCCUUCGAUACUGGGAAGCUCGAGUCCGGGAGAGGUGAGUGGAACUGCGAGUGUAGAGGUGAAAUUCGUAGAUAUUCGCAAGAACACCAGUGGCGAAGGCGGCUCACUGGCCCGGUACUGACGCUGAGGUGCGAAAGCGUGGGGAGCAAACAGG
rnacentral:rRNA from 1 species